CAGUGCAGGCUGGUUACUGAUUGAGUGAGCACAGAAAUGCUGCUUGUGAGAUAGUAGUCCUUUGCUGCUGUUUUAAGUUUCAGCUGUCAAUCAUCUUCAACUCACACUUGUGAUGUGUCUACACUGGAUAUUAUCAACUUGGUAGUAUUUUCUGGAGAGCUUUGAGGACAGGAUAGUUUGCUGCUGGGGUUAUGGACUUAUUGUGUUGCUCAUCACAUAAGACACGUGGAGCUAUUCCAGUCACCUGCUGUCUAUCUUACCUACUGCUGUAGCUAUCUGGCAGCCACAAGGCAGCUUGAAUGAUUCAGAGCAGCCUCCAGCAGAGUGUGACGUGGGGCAUUUGUCUGUUGUCCCUAUGUGCUAGACUUAUGUGACUAGCGCUUCAGUUCUGGGUCAAAUCCUUGGCCAUGUUCAUGGACCAUCAAGAGACACAGAAAUAAGAGAUUAUUUUGGAGAUGACAGCAUCCUACCUAUCAGUAAUGGACUGCCUCCCCGGAAUGUAUUUAUGUUCUAAUGAAACAAACUCAAAAUAGUAACUACAAAAUUAUGAAGUUGUUUUUUCAUCAUUUCAAUCUGUGUAAUUUUGUUUUCAGAUAGGCACUCCCUGCUUAUUUGGGGUUUUUCUGUUCCGCUUGAGAUAAUCAUCCUAUAAUAUCUAAUUCAAUGCAAUGAUCAAUUCAGUCGCAGAUUAGUGUAGCAUUCAGCAGUAAAAAGAAAUAUCCCCCAAACUGCACAUACCCGAAGCAGUUUUUAAUUCUAAUACAAAUUAGACUGAAUGUUUUACAAAUUUGCAUUACUUGUUUGCAGUCUCAUGGUCAAUCCAAGAUAAUGAGAUCUAAACACCAGGAUUUAAACCCCAGCACAAAUAACAUGAUGUUUUUAAAUGCUGUAAGGCUGGCUUACUUGAACAUAUGCAGUUCUUUCAAAUUUUACAACUUCAAUCCCUGAUAAAUGGGAAUUAAAAAUAUGAAUAGGGCUCUUCAUAAUAGAAAGCAUGCUUCAUUUAUUGUACUGAGUUAAGUCUUUUGGAAGCGAUUACUUUCUCACUGGAACACUGUGCUCAGCACUCUUAUGGCCCAGGCAUCUGUCACUCAAACAGAUGUCACCCCAUCAACUUGAAAAUAGAACUCUCUUUUUCCAUUUUGUGUGCCUAAGUGAAGUUUUCAGGUUGAAGUUUUUGGUGACAUUUGUUUAAGUGACAGAUGUUCAUGUCUAAUAGCCCUCAGUGGGGAAAUGACCUUGUUUUCUUUGUGAGAGUUCUGCAUCAAAUACUGUAAUUAUAUGUAUGUGGAAAAUAUAUGCCUUUAUGAAGCAAUAAAUCUGUAAGGAAGUUUUUACA